GAUGAAGAACGUAGCAAAUGCGAUAAGUAAUGCGAAUUGCAGAAUUUCCGUGAGUCAUCGAGUCUUUGAACGCACAUUGCGCCCCCUGGUAUUCCGGGGGGCAUGCCUGUCCGAGCGUCAUUGCUGCCCUCAAGCACGGCUUGUGUGUUGGGCCCCGUCCCCUCCCCCGGGGACGGGCCCGAAAGGCAGCGGCGGCACCGCGUCCGAUCCUCGAGCGUAUGGGGCUUUGUCACCCGCUCUGUAGGCCCGGCCGGCGCCAGCCGACACCCAACUUUUAUUUCUAAGGUUGACCUCGGAUCAGGUAGGGAUACCCGCUGAACUUAAGCAUAUCAAUAAGCGGAGGA
rnacentral:misc_RNA from 1 species